UAAAGCGUGCGCAGGCGGUUAUAUAAGACAGAUGUGAAAUCCCCGGGCUCAACCUGGGAACUGCAUUUGUGACUGUAUAGCUGGAGUGCGGCAGAGGGGGAUGGAAUUCCGCGUGUAGCAGUGAAAUGCGUAGAUAUGCGGAGGAACACCGAUGGCGAAGGCAAUCCCCUGGGCCUGCACUGACGCUCAUGCACGAAAGCGUGGGGAGCAAACAGGAUUAGAUCCCUUGU
rnacentral:rRNA from 1 species